UUCUUCUUCUUCCUCCUCCUCCUUUCAGUUCUAACUGUGGUGUUUCAUUUUCUCAGGUGUUCCUAUUUUCUCCCGGUUAAUAAUUCUUAAAUCCUUCCUACGCUCCUCUUUUUCAUGCGUAUCUAUUUGAUCAUACUCGUUUCUUCUAAAUUAAUUUUAUUAGGGUCGAUUUCAUUAUGCAACUGUUCGUUCUGAUUUUCAAUUUCCACCUAAUCUUCUCUUUUUUGUGUGAAUGUGUCUUUUUGUUUGAUUAUUGGUUGCAUAUAACUUUGAGGCGUGAGCUUAACUCAUAGAUAGCCUAUUGCGUAGUUCUCGAUCUUCAGUCCAGGAUUAAUUAACCGAAAAUUACAUGUAUAUGUGCAGCUGGAAAUCUCGACCCUAUGUACUUACAUUCUUCGUUUAUUCUAUUUUACAAUCAUUAUUGUUGUUGCUGCAUCUUGCACUUCAAGAUCGGAACUUGGUUAGGCUUAGGCUCCUUCUCCAUUUACUCUUUGGUUUAUGCAAUUCGUAGAGUCUAGGAUGCAUUUCUGUAGAAUUGCUAAGAGAUGACUCUUCUCACUUGAAAAGUUUUAACUUCUGUAAUUAACACUCGCCAUUUCAAGUUGACAAUAUAUUGCAUACAUCACAGAAAGAGUUGCAUUUUCCCUGUCAGCUAAAAUUUCUAAUAGAUAAGUUUGCAAUAGGUCUGUAUAUAUCAAUCUGGACUCUGCAACAGACUUGUCACCCUCAUCGAUCAUCUUCACUAUUCUGGAAGGCAAUUGGAACCUUAUUCCUCCCUCAUUUGGCUUGUUGUGAAGUCAAGUAUGUCCGGUGAGCGGACUUUCAUUGAUGGGGACGUUUCUUCUGGGUCUGGCGAGGAAGCAAACAUGUUAGAUGGCCAUAAUAAAAACCAUACUGUUCCCCAAUCAGGGAGGCACAAGAGAAACCGUAAGGCAACAGGGGAUGCUAUUGUGGAUGCUAUGCUGGAGAUCGCUGCAGCCUCAAAGAUGAGAGCUGCUGCAAUCAUGAGAGCUGAGGAACGAUUCACCAUAAGCAAAUGUAUAAGAAUAUUGGACGAGAUGCAAGGUGUUGAUCAAAAUGUAUACUUUUUUGCUUUGGAUUUAUUCGAAAAUCCUUCAGCAAGAGAAACUUUCAUAUCUCUUAAAAGCGAGAGGCGGUUAGCAUGGAUGCAGGGGAAAUUUAGAGCAUCUACAAGUUCAGCAGCCUGACUAUGAUGUGAACUAGUGUCAGCUGACUUAGUACUGCAUUAUUAGAUGGUCAUGUUUAGAUAUCUACUCUUACAAUAGCCUAGUUGGUUUAAUGUGGAUCUGCUGUACAUUUACAAGGUUAGCAUUUGUGAACAUGAUUUAGUUUUAUGAUUCAGUAGCCAUGAUUAUUAUGUUAGCACUAUUAAA